rnacentral:lncRNA from 1 species
AACUACAUUAGUAAGAGUCCAUCAGUGGCUUUCUAUUUUAAGCUACUAUAUAAAUGACAUGCAGGUUAGAAUUACAUAUCAAAGAAAACAUUUUACGGAGAGGGGAGAAAAGAUUUACUCCCAGAACAGAUUUUUUUUUAAAGUAAACAUUUUAGUUUAGUUUUAGAUAUACGGAAAAAUUGAGAUGGUGGUAAAGAUGGUUCAAAUACCCUUAAUGUUUCCACUGUUAAUAACAUCAUACAUUAUUAUGGUACAUUUGUCAAUAAUAUUGAAUAAUAAUUUUUAUUAAUAAUAGCUAUUAUUACUGAACUAAUAGUGAUUAUUAUUAUUAACUAAAUUUUAUAUUUUAUUCAUAUUCACUUAGUUUUUAAUGUCUUUUUUGUUGCAGGAUCCCAACCAGAAUACCACAUUAUAUUUAGUUGUUAGGUUCACUUAGGUUUAUCUUGACUGUGAUAUUUUCUCAGGCUUUGUUUAUUUUUAAUAACAUUGAAAGUUUUGGGGAGUACUUGUCAGAUAUUUUCUGAAAUGUUCCUCAAUUUCAAUUUUUCUGAUUUUUUUUUUUUUCUUAAUGAUUAGGCUGAGGUUAUGGGUUUUGUGGAGAAAGCCAACAGAGGUAAAGUGCCAUUCUCACGCCAUCGUAUCAGUGGUACAGACAACCAACAUGUCUUAUCACAGUUGAUGUUAACCUUGGUCACUUGGCUGAGGUAGUCUUUGUUAGAUUUUUCCACAGUAAAGUUACAGUUUUUUCCCCAUUUCCAUAUCCUAGUCUUCAUUGUCACUAGGACAGAUACACUUAAGAAGUGAGGAAUUAUGUCCAACUCCUUGAGGGCAGGAUAUUUCCACAAGUUAUUUGGAAUUCUUCCACUUGGAAGAUUUACCUAUUCUCAUUUACUGAUUUAGUCACUUAUUUAUUAUAAUAUAUGGUUAAUGAGUUAUAAUAAUAUAUGUAUAGUUAUAUGUAUAUAUAUACAAUUUUUUUUCUUUUUAGGACGACACCCGUGGUACAUGGAGGUUCUCAGGCUAGCGAUCUGAUCGGAGCUACAGCAGCUUCUGGCCUACACACAGCCACAGCAACACAGGAUCCAAGCCACAUCUCGCACAGCAAUGUCAGAUCCUUAACCCACUGAGCAAGGCCAGGGAUCAAACUCGCAACCUCACGGUUCCUAGUUGGAUUUGUUUCUGCUGUAUGCAGGAACUCCAUACAAUUAUAGUUAUUUUAUAUAUAUGUAUAUGAAGUCAAAUAAAUGCCCAUCUAUAAAAUAAACUUAUAAGCAACUAGAAAAUCUUUUUAAAAAUCUCUAUAUGUAUUAAAGUUUAAGAAAACUAGAUUAGGGACUCAAUAAAGAUAAUUUCUAUUGUUCUGGCUUAAAUUGUUCUGGCUCUGGCCAUCUGGAGUUACCCUAACAUUGUGGAGUUUUGCGUCAUGUUUCUAGCAAGAAGUCAGCCAUAAUUGUUAUACUUAUUACUCUAUAGUAAGAUUCCCCCACUUCUCUCUGGAUAUUUUCAAUAUUUUCUCUUUCUCUUAAUUUUCUGAAGAUUGAGUAUGAUAUGCAUAAGUAUGGAUUUUUAAUAGUUAUCCUGCUUUGUAGUCUAUGAACUCCUUGGGUCUGUGGUAUUUGUCAUUAAUUUUAAAAAGUUCUCUGAGGUUAUUACUUCAAAUAUUUCUUUUGCUUUGAUUUUUUUUCCUUUUGCUAUUCUAAUUACAAGUAUGUUGUAUCUUUUGAAGUUGUUUCACAGUCUUGAAUGUUCUGGUCUUUUAAAAAAUUAUUAUUUUUCUAUGUGCAUUUCAGUUUGGGAAGUUUCUAUGUACCUAAAAUCACUAACAUAAUGAAACACAGAUACCUUAUCUUAAGGCAUCUGGCUUUGGCAUACCCAUAGAAAAGAAUUGGCAGGAUAAAUUUAGUCAUUUGUGUUUUCAGAUAAUAUCUGUUCUAUUUAUCAUUAUAUUCUUUUCUAUUUAAUUUAGGAAGAUAAACAUACUACUAUAUCAUCAGUAUUCUGUACAAUCCAAUACACAGGUUUUUUUUUCUUUAUUCAUUUUCAAAAUGCAGCAGUCAUAAUUUUAAUCUAUAAAUAAAUUUUUUGCAUCUUUAGUGAGUCCCUAAUCUAGUUUUCUUAAACUUUAAUACAUAUAUAGAUUUUUUCUAAGAUUUUCUAUUUUCUUAUAAGUAAGUUUAUUUUAUAGAUGGGCAUUUGUUUGACUUCCUCAGACUAGUCUCAAUUUCAAGUGUAUAGUUUUCAAUGUAUUGGCUAACUUUUUGGUUUACUUAACCUUUGAGAGGGAAGCUUAUGUUUGAAUAAUGUUGAGAUUGACAUGAACUGUAAGAAAUUGAAUAAGUUGCUAUGCAACUCAUAAAAGGAAGAAGAAAAAAACCUAGGAUGAUUAUAAUUUUACUUUGGAGGGUUCAGGAUCAAGAACAUUAUGUUUGGCUACAAUCAGAGCAUGGAUUUUUCUCUUCUUCCCUAAAGAGUUUCUCUUCUGUAAUCAUGGAGUAGUCUCAGCCCUUUUCAUAAAAUUAUUCUCAGUGACUUGACAGCUCUCACUGGGAACUAGCCUCAGCUGUCUCCCUGAUUUAGUUAAAAGUGUAAUAUGAGGAUAAUCUGUACAGCAGGUUCCCUCUCUUGCAUAAACUCUGGCAUCCAGAAAAUUUCUGAUGGUGUGUUUAAUUAGGAUCAAGUUCUUCUUCUUACCAACUGCUCUGCAACCCACACUUUUAUCUAGCUCUUGCCAUUCAAAAUUAGGUAGUGGUAACCACUCCUUCAUUUCUUUCUAAGAUAGGCUAUGGUCUUAUAGGCAGUGAAUUAUGGGAUAACAUGGCCUCCUAAUACAUUCUCACUUCUUUUAUUGCCUGUACAUUCUCAGAUCUUUGAAACUAGAACCAAAUUUUUUUUUUCAGAUUUCCUUGUUGAUGCAUAUUUUUCACUGCUCUUAUAUUCCCCUCGUAACUUAUAGUUUUAUGAGAUAAUAAUGAUGCAGGGCUUAAAAAUUCAGAUUAAUAGUUUAUAUUUUUUUUAUAAUCUACGUUUAAAGCAUUAGGUCAGUUCUACCAAUCACAAAUGUUACAUCCAACUCAAUUUUACCACAGUGAAGUCCUCUGACUUGAUUUCCUCUGGCUGCUUUUGCGAUUUUUCUCUUUACCACUGGUUUUCAGCAAUUUGAUUAAGAUAGGCCUUAGUAUAGCUUUCAUAAAGGUUUACACUGCUUGGAGUUUGCUGAAAUUCUUGGGUCUGUAGGUAUGUAGUAUGUCUUAAACUUGGAAAAUUGUCAGUUAUUACUUCAUUUUUUUGUUUUAUUCCAUCUCUCUCUUCUCUCCUUUUGUGCCCAAGUUGUAUGUAUGUUAGACUACCUGAUAUUAUCCCAUAAGCUGUUGAUGCUAUUUAUUUUUUCAUCUUUUUUUGUGUCUAUGCAUAAUUUGUAUAAUUCCAGUGGCUCUGUGUUCAACUUCACUGAUCUUUUUUUCUGCUGUGUCUGAUUUAAUAUAAAUGUUAUCUGUCUUAGUAUGUUCAGGCUGCUAUAUAAUAAAAAUAGCAUAAACAAUUGCCUUAAAAAACAGAUACUUAUUUCUCAUAGUUUUAAGUCCAAGAUCAAGACACUAGCAGAUCUGAUGUCUAGUAAGGACCCACUUCCUGGUUCAUUGAUGGCCAUAAUAACGGUAGAGGCUCAAAGAAGCUCUCUGGGGUCUCUUUUUUAAGGGCACUAAUCCUCUUUUACAAGGACUUCACUCUUGUAACUUAAUCACUGUCCAAUGUAUGAAUCUGGGUGAAAAGGGAAGGGAAUAGACAUUUAGUGUAUUUUAUGAUCCACUUUAUUUCUCAUCUCAGAUAUUGUAUUUUUUAAUCUCAAAGGGUUCAGUUUAAAUCUUUGUAUCUUCCAAUUUUCUCUUUUUCACGAUCAAAUUUUUCUCUGCCUUCCUGUCCAUAUGGAUCAUAACCAAAAUUGCUGGUGAAAUGUCUUUGUCUGCUAAUCCCUUCAUCUCUGCAAUUUCUGGGUUGGUUAAAAUUGAUUAAAAUUCUCUCUACAUUAAAAAAAAUAAAUUCCAAUAUGUCUCCUAAAAUACUUUAACAAAAAAAUUAUCAGAGCCUAUUAAUUGUGGUAACCAAAUGGAGGAGUUCCCUCGUGGCCUAGUGACUGUUGCCUCUGCUGAGGUGCAGGUUCAAUCCCUAGCCCAGGAACUUCCACAUGUCAUGGACACAGCUAAAAAAAAAUCCAAAUGGAUAAUCAAAUUCUGGUAUAUUUAUUCAAUAAAAUACUGUCUAGUAAGGAUAGAGAACAAAUUGCUGAUGCACACAAAAACAUGGAAAAAUUUCAUAAAUACCAUGUUGAAUGGAUAGUCAAAUAUCAUUCGGAGUAGACAGAAUCAGAAUAGGUAUAUUAUAACUCUAGUCACAUUCAUUUCUAAAACACAGAAAACCAAGCUAUUAUGAUAGGAAUCAGAACAGUGGUGAUCAGCAGGAAACAGGGAAGAGGCAGUCAACUGGAAGGGAGUAAAAAUGGACUUUCUCAGCUGAUAUAAUUAAACUAUGAAAUGAUUAGAAUGUUGGUCAUGUGGAUUUAUAUAUUUGCCAGUUCACCUAUAGUAUGCAUUUCACUGUAGGUAAAUAAUAGCUCAAUUUUAAAAAUUACGAAAAUUAUCUGCUCUAAGAAGAAAUAGUGAAAAAGAAAAAACGAAAAGAAUAAUUUCCACCUACAAAACAAAGGAUCAGAAUCUUAACUAUCUAGGGAAAUUUGGGAAAUCAAGAGGGAAAAUAAGAUACUCUAAUAGAAAAUUAAGGAAAAAACAAUAAAAACAUUUAUUUUUACAAAUAAUACAUGAAAAUAGUAAAACCUUUAGUAAUUGGAAAAAUGCGAUUGAAAAUCACAGAAAGAUGUAAUUUUUUACCUCUCAAACGUGUUCAGUUAUUAUAAAUAUCUUACAAUUUCAUAUUUCAGUACUUUUCAUAUGAUAGACCCUCAAAUGGUCAGUGAAUGAACAAACUAAUGUUUUUUUAGUUUAAAUAGUCCACGUUUAAAUUCAGUAAUAUUAAAAUACUUAUACAUUUAUGUAAUCUUAAAAGAGGAAUAUAUCUUAAAGAUUUAGCAAUAAAACACAUAUCAAAUCACAUAGGAGGCAACCA